rnacentral:rRNA from 1 species
GUGGGGAAUAUUGCGCAAUGGGCGAAAGCCUGACGCAGCGACGCCGCGUGAGGGAUGAAGGUUUUCGGAUCGUAAACCUCUGUCAGAAGGGAAGAAACUACAUUGUGCUAAUCAGCAGUGUACUGACGGUACCUUCAAAGGAAGCACCGGCUAACUCCGUGCCAGCAGCCGCGGUAAUACGGAGGGUGCAAGCGUGAAUCGGAAUUACUGGGCGUAAAGCGCACGUAGGCUGUAGUGUAAGUCAGGGGUGAAAUCACACGGCUCAACCGUGGAACUGCCUUUGAUACUGCACAACUUGAAUCCGGGAGAGGGUGGCGGAAUUCCAGGUGUAGGAGUGAAAUCCGUAGAUAUCUGGAGGAACAUCAGUGGCGAAGGCGGCCACCUGGACCGGUAUUGACGCUGAGGUGCGAAAGCGUGGGGAGCAAACAGGAUUGGAUACCCGUGUAGUCC